GCGGCGGAUGGGUGAGUAACACGUGGGGAACCUGCCCCAUAGUCUGGGAUACCACUUGGAAACAGGUGCUAAUACCGGAUAAGAAAGCAGAUCGCAUGAUCAGCUUUUAAAAGGCGGCGUAAGCUGUCGCUAUGGGAUGGCCCCGCGGUGCAUUAGCUAGUUGGUAAGGUAAAGGCUUACCAAGGCGAUGAUGCAUAGCCGAGUUGAGAGACUGAUCGGCCACAUUGGGACUGAGACACGGCCCAAACUCCUACGGGAGGCAGCAGUAGGGAAUCUUCCACAAUGGACGCAAGUCUGAUGGAGCAACGCCGCGUGAGUGAAGAAGGUUUUCGGAUCGUAAAGCUCUGUUGUUGGUGAAGAAGGAUAGAGGUAGUAACUGGCCUUUAUUUGACGGUAAUCAACCAGAAAGUCACGGCUAACUACGUGCCAGCAGCCGCGGUAAUACGUAGGUGGCAAGCGUUGUCCGGAUUUAUUGGGCGUAAAGCGAGCGCAGGCGGAAGAAUAAGUCUGAUGUGAAAGCCCUCGGCUUAACCGAGGAACUGCAUCGGAAACUGUUUUUCUUGAGUGCAGAAGAGGAGAGUGGAACUCCAUGUGUAGCGGUGGAAUGCGUAGAUAUAUGGAAGAACACCAGUGGCGAAGGCGGGCUCUCUGGUCUGCAACUGACGCUGAGGCUCGAAAGCAUGGGGUAGCGAACAGGAUUAGAUACCCUGGUAGUCC
rnacentral:rRNA from 1 species